ensembl:lncRNA
ACCAACACCGGCACCGGCAACACCAACACCGAUACCAACACCGGCACCGGGACCAACACCGACACCAACAACACCGGCACCGGGACCAACAACACCGACACCAAUACCGACACCGGCACCGGCAACACCAACACUGACACCAACACCGGCACCGGCAACACCACCACCAGCAACAAGAACAACAACACCGGGACCAACACCGACACCAACACCGGCACCGGGACCAACAACACCGACACCAACAACACUGACACCAACAACACCGGCACCGGCACCGGGACCAACAACACCGACACCAACACCAACACCACCAACACCGACACCAACACCGGCACCGGCAACACCAACACCAACACCGACACCAACACCGACACCGACACCAACACCGGCACCGGCAACACCAACACCGACACCAACACCGGCACCGACACCAACACCGGCACCGGCAACACCGACACCAACAACACUGACACUGGGACCAACACCAACAGCACCGACACCAGCACUGGUACCAACAACACCAACAACACCGGCACCGGCACCAAAACCAACACUGACACCAAGACUGGCACCGGCAACAACACCAACACCACCGAUACCAGCAACACCGACACCGACAACACCGGAACCAACACCAACAACACUGAUACCAACAAUACCAACACCAGAACCAACACCGGAACCAACACCAACAACACUGAUACCAACAAUA